CCAGUUCUCUCUCUUCCUGUGGCCUGUGGAUCACAGCCACUGCUGCUGUGCCAGAGUUGUCUUGGUCACGGGGAUGCUUCGCAGCCAUAGAACAAUGAUGAAGACACUCUCAGAUCACACAUGAACUUUUGUAACUAAGUAAACUAUGUACGGAACCCAGAGUCUUCUGGAACAUGAAGGCCUGAAUAUCAGGCAGGCAUCAUUGGCUGUUAUGUCCUCAUCUCUCGAUUGAAACAUCGAUAGCCAAGAGCAACUAUGUGUCUCAAGAUCUAACAGAGAAGUAGAAAAACACCACCUGGAGGAGACAGUCCUUACUUUCUAACACAGUCGUGUGGAAGGUAGCCUAACUAUGCUCUCAAAGGCACAGCCCUGCCUAGGGAUUUCUUCCAUGCCUCACCGCAAUGUGCUCAUCUUUAUCUGGAUAAAACAGACAGAAUGGAGCCCCACUUUCACUCCCAGAUUAGAACUGAUUCGUAAGUAUAUGACUUUAGGGCAGUGCGACGCAUGGGGUCCCACUACUCCCUAUGAUCUGUACACAGUUAAUGAUUGGCGGGGGCAGGGGAGACAUUUUGUUAUAUAGCCGCUGAUGAGGUGCCCGUGCAAAUAAGACGCCCUCUUAAACUCUUCUCAUUUUUGCCCAUGCUAAUAUAAAAUGGGGCUUUGUGUGGGGCUAGGCUUUCUUCUCAUCCUUCAAGCCUGUCAACAGUAGGGGAUAGCAAAAGCCGGAAGAGAGUUUGGCCUCAGGAACC
rnacentral:lncRNA from 1 species